rnacentral:rRNA from 2 species
UGGGGAAUAUUGGGCAAUGGGCGAAAGCCUGACCCAGCAACGCCGCGUGAGGGAAGAAGGUCCUCGGAUUGUAAACCUUUGUCUUAUGGGACGAUAAUGACGGUACCAUAGGAGGAAGCCACGACUAACUACGUGCCAGCAGUCGCGGUAAUACGUAGGUGGCGAGCGUUAUCCGGAAUUAUUGGGUGUAAAGGGUGCGUAGGCGGGAUGUAAAGUCAGAUGUGAAAUGCCGUGGCUUAACCACGGAGCUGCAUUUGAAACUUACAUUCUUGAGUGGAGUAGAGGUAAGCGGAAUUCCGAGUGUAGCGGUGAAAUGCGUAGAUAUUCGGAGGAACACCGGUGGCGAAGGCGGCUUACUGGGCUUUUACUGACGCUGAAGCACGAAAGUGUGGGGAGCAAACAGG